rnacentral:misc_RNA from 1 species
GAUGAAGAACGUAGCGAAAUGCGAUACGUAAUGUGAAUUGCAGAAUUCAGUGAAUCAUCGAGUCUUUGAACGCACAUUGCGCCCCCUGGUAUUCCGGGGGGCAUGCCUGUCCGAGCGUCAUUGCUGCCCUCAAGCCCGGCUUGUGUGUUGGGUCUCGUCCCCCUUCCCGGGGGGACGGGCCCGAAAGGCAGCGGCGGCACCGCGUCCGGUCCUCGAGCGUAUGGGGCUUUGUCACCCGCUCUGUAGGCCCGGCCGGCGCUUGCCGAUCAACCAAAACUUUUUUCCAGGUUGACCUCGGAUCAGGUAGGGAUACCCGCUGAACUUAAGCAUAUCAAUAACGGAGGA